UACAGAGGUCCCGAGCGUUGUUCGGAUUCACUGGGCGUAAAGGGUGCGUAGGUGGUUAGGUAAGUCCGAUGUGAAAUCUCCAGGCUCAACCUGGAAAUGGCAUUGGAUACUAUUUAGCUUGAGGAGUGGAGGGGGGACUGGAAUUCUCGGUGUAGCAGUGAAAUGCGUAGAUAUCGAGAGGAACACCCGUGGCGAAGGCGGCUCUCUGGGACGGUACUGACGCUGAGACGCGAAAGCGUGGGAGCGAACAGG
rnacentral:rRNA from 1 species